rnacentral:rRNA from 1 species
CCUGCGGGUGGCUGCAGUGGGGAAUAUUGGACAAUGGGCGAAAGCCUGAUCCAGCCAUGCCGCGUGUGUGAAGAAGGCCUUCGGGUUGUAAAGCACUUUCAGUGGGGAAGAAAGCCUUGGGGCUAAUACCCUCGAGGAAGGACAUCACCCACAGAAGAAGCACCGGCUAACUCCGUGCCAGCAGCCGCGGUAAUACGGAGGGUGCGAGCGUUAAUCGGAAUUACUGGGCGUAAGGCGCGCGUAGGCGGUCUGAUAAGCCGGUUGUGAAAGCCCCGGGCUCAACCUGGGAACGGCAUCCGGAACUGUCAGGCUAGAGUGCAGGAGAGGAAGGUAGAAUUCCCGGUGUAGCGGUGAAAUGCGUAGAGAUCGGGAGGAAUACCAGUGGCGAAGGCGGCCUUCUGGACUGACACUGACGCUGAGGUGCGAAAGCGUGGGUAGCAAACAGGAUUAGAUACCCUAGUAGUC